UGUGAAAAAAGACUGAGAAGUAUGAAGUGUUGGGUGUUGUCAUCACAAGCCUUCUGUGACAUGGAAGGAGGGUGGGAGGUUUAGGGUUGAGAGAGCUGCAACCUUCCAGGACAGCCUUAUAGGGCACAACCGUACCCCCAGAGCUGGCUCCAGACUGGGAUUCUGGACGGAGGGAGACCAUGGAGGCCUUGCUCGUCUUCUGAGACAAAAGUCAGAAGACCUCCCACAGAGGAUCAAUUGGGCUCCACUCCAGGCAGCCCCAAGCAGCUCAAGAGUCUCGCUCUGUUGCCCAGGCUGGAGUGCAGUGGUGCAUUCUGGGUUCACUGCAAACUCCGCCUCCUGGUUUCAAGUGAUUCUCCUGCCUUAGCCUUCCAAGUAGCUGGGAUUACAGGCUGCCAUAGGGAUGCAAAGACAGGAGCGGUAUCUCUUCUUACAUGCAAAAAGACACGUGGAAAAGCACAGGACAUAUGUCUCACCAACUCCACACUCUCCCUCAAACUAGAACUGCCCAGCCUGCUUGGGGAGG
rnacentral:lncRNA from 1 species